rnacentral:rRNA from 1 species
GACGAACGCUGGCGGCGUGCUUAACACAUGCAAGUCGAACGGAAAGGCCCUGCUUUUGUGGGGUGCUCGAGUGGCGAACGGGUGAGUAACACGUGAGUAACCUGCCCUUGACUUUGGGAUAACUUCAGGAAACUGGGGCUAAUACCGGAUAGGAGCUCCUGCUGCAUGGUGGGGGUUGGAAAGUUUCGGCGGUUGGGGAUGGACUCGCGGCUUAUCAGCUUGUUGGUGGGGUAGUGGCUUACCAAGGCUUUGACGGGUAGCCGGCCUGAGAGGGUGACCGGCCACAUUGGGACUGAGAUACGGCCCAGACUCCUACGGGAGGCAGCAGUGGGGAAUAUCGCACAAUGGGCGGAAGCCUGAUGCAGCAACGCCGCGUGCGGUAUGACGGCCUUCGGGUUGUAAACCGCUUUCGCCUGUGACGAAGCGUGAGUGACGGUAAUGGGUAAAGAAGCACCGGCUAACUACGUG